GGCCGUGCUGAUUCAGCCACCACUAGAAGUGUGGGGCCAUGGUGUCAGUUUCCGAGACUGAGAAGUGAGAAGCCCAGGCCCCAGCCGGUGGAUCGCCGCUAGACUGCCCGGCUGUGGCCGCGGCGGCGGCAACGAGCCCUAGACGCCGGCGGACAAGCCUUGAUCGGCAGCUGGGUUAAAUCGAGGAAGGGAGUAGGCCACGCUCGGCCGCUGACCGCACAAGAGCCUGUAGGACAGGAUGGGAUCGCCCAUUCACCUACAGAGUUCAGCUCGGUUGCUUUCGCAGCAGAGCAGAGGUGUUCGUGCCAGGCUGCCAGCGAAGAAAAGGAAGAUUAGCAAUUAACGGAUUGGAGUCGUCCACGCAUUUUUUUUCUACCAUGACUUUGGAGCGCGCGCGAUAUACGGACACCACUGACUUCACAACCGACGAUGGGUCCUGGUUGGCGUCUACGCUGGCGCAUUGCAUUCUCUUGGCGGGGAGAGGAACAGCAGAGCAACCAACUUGACCACGAACCCAUUCAAUUCAAUGCCUCUCUCUUUUGCACUGCACGUGGAAGAAAAUUUCUCAAGAGAGGUCCACUGAAGUUGGUGGCGAACUUUUACUGGGAUAGAAUUUAACUGUGGACCCAAAAUAUGGAUGGAGGUAUUAAAUUUUCUCAAGAGUCGGGCGUGGACCACAGUACUGUUAGAUUAUUCAACCUUGACUAAUACUACUACGGUCGACGGUGCACGUAAAAAAUAAAAAUACUCCUCCUCUCUUGUGUGCGUC